UUUCAUGAGAAGCUGCACAUCAGAACCAUCACACAUCUGCACACUUGUAAUGACUUAAAGAGCACACUCAAGGCCACAGAAGGAACUUGCCGUAAGAUAAGCCACCGCAGUGGGAACUUGAGAAUAGCAAAGAAGGGAGGAAUUUGUGAGAGCAAGGCAAUAAUCCCAGGCCUGGCAGAGGUGAGAUCUGGUUGCAAAUCCUGGUUAAUGCAUUCAGACAAAAAUUCCCACUGUGGCAAACUGGGAGAGGAAGCAGCUACUCAUACACAUAGCACCACUCAAAGAAAGAUCACAUUAAGUUAUGGGAAUGACAUGUGCAACCAUCCCAUGGAUACUCGGAACUUGGACUGUAUAAAGGUGCUAACUCCAGAAGAACAAGUCCAGGACCCCCACCACUGAGAAGACCAGGGUGAAGAAGGACCAACGGGACACUUUUGGAUCCACAGCUUCCAUCCCACUUCAGAGAUGCCAGUCUUCUCAACCUCCAUCCUGAACUUCAGCCAUUUGCCUUUUAUUCCCUGAAUUUCUUUUAGCAAUGGUAUCACUGCUUUAAACACCAUGUUGGUUUAUUCACCUUUGCCCAGUUAAAUAUGAAUAAAAACUCCAUUUGUUUUCAGGCUCCA